AACAAGGAAAAGAGAGUUCAACAGGCUCGUCAAUGGAUUGCUAUUGGAGAAAAUUUUGACAAUGUCAUAUUUACAGAUGAAACUUCUGUAGCACUUGAGAGGUUUGCAAGGAGGUCCUUCCGCAAACGUGGCCAUUUAUCAUUUAAGCCAUCUCCAAAGCACCCAUUAAAAGUACAUGUGUGGGGUGGUAUCUCCCGCAGAGGCCCAGGACCAAUUUUAAUUUUUGAAGGUAUCAUGGAUAAAACAUUCUUCCAGUCCAUGAUCAUUAAUGAUACUUUAGUGCCGUAUGUAAGAAAGUAUUGGUCAUCUGGACAUCGAAUGUUCCAGGACAAUGAUCCAAAACAUAGUGCUUCGGCCAAAUUCAUAGAGGAAAAAGGCAUCAUUUGGUAACGCACACCACCAGAAUCACAGGACAUGAAUCCUAUCGAGCUAGUGUGGUCUCAAAUGAAAAGUUAUAUUCGUUCUCAAUGUAAGCCAAGGACAAAAGAGCAACUGAUUGAUGGCAUCAAUACAUUUUGGAAAAACGUACUUACAUUGGAGACCUGUAAUAAUUAUGUAGACCAUUUAUUUUCUGUGCUGCCAGUGAUUAUAGAAAGAAAUGGACAAGCCAGCUGCAUGUAAUUGG